GGGCCAUUAGCUCAGUUGGCUAGAGCGCCUCCAUGACGCGGAGGAGGUCGGGGGUUCGAUUCCCUCAUGGCCCA
rnacentral:tRNA from 1 species